rnacentral:misc_RNA from 1 species
UCUCCGUAGGUGAACCUGCGGAGGGAUCAUUACCGAGUGAGGGCUCCGGCCCGACCUCCAACCCUUUGUCGAAGUCCCUUGUUGCCUCGGGGGUGACCCGGCCCUCUGGCGUCGGGGCCUCCCGCGGACCACACAAACCACUCUUGCAUGUUUGCGUCGGAGUCGAAAAGUAAAUGAAAUGAAAACUUUCAACAACGGAUCUCUUGGUUCUGGCAUCGAUGAAGAACGCAGC